GAUGAACGCUGGCGGCGUGCCUAAUACAUGCAAGUCGAGCGAACGGACGAGAAGCUUGCUUCUCUGAUGUUAGCGGCGGACGGGUGAGUAACACGUGGAUAACCUACCUAUAAGACUGGGAUAACUUCGGGAAACCGGAGCUAAUACCGGAUAAUAUUUUGAACCGCAUGGUUCAAAAGUGAAAGACGGUCUUGCUGUCACUUAUAGAUGGAUCCGCGCCGCAUUAGCUAGUUGGUAAGGUAACGGCUUACCAAGGCAACGAUGCAUAGCCGACCUGAGAGGGUGAUCGGCCACACUGGAACUGAGACACGGUCCAGACUCCUACGGGAGGCAGCAGUGGGGAAUCUUCCGCAAUGGGCGAAAGCCUGACGGAGCAACGCCGCGUGAGUGAUGAAGGUCUUCGGAUCGUAAAACUCUGUUAUUAGGGAAGAACAUAUGUGUAAGUAACUGUGCACAUCUUGACGGUACCUAAUCAGAAAGCCACGGCUAACUACGUG
rnacentral:rRNA from 1 species